UGAGUAACCUGCCCUUAACUCUGGGAUAAGCCUGGGAAACUGGGUCUAAUACCGGAUAUGACUCCUCAUCGCAUGGUGGGGGGUGGAAAGCUUUAUUGUGGUUUUGGAUGGACUCGCGGCCUAUCAGCUUGUUGGUGAGGUAAUGGCUCACCAAGGCGAUGACGGGUAGCCGGCCUGAGAGGGUGACCGGCCACACUGGGACUGAGACACGGCCCAGACUCCUACGGGAGCAG
rnacentral:rRNA from 1 species